AAAUACGCAAUCGACCCCCUGGGUGUUUACGAUAACUAAUCGGGGGUGUAUUCCGAAAGUUCUAUUGAAAAUAUCCCUUUUAGUCAUAAGGUUGGUAGCGCUGUAACUAACUAUGUUGUGUUCCGUAAUGUAAGUUAAGUUUAUGAUUAUCGUUGGCUCAUGGUGGUUUGCAGAGAUCAACAAAGAGGAAUCAAAAAGCAAAAAAUGGAUUUCCAAGAAUUCCGGAGAUAAAAAUCCUAAGUUUUGAUUAAUAUUAAUUUAUUAAUUAACAGCUUCAAUCACAAAAUGUUAAUGUAAAUACAAUCAAACAAUUAAUAUUAUUUGAUGGAGUAUCCAAUUAUACAUUAUAUGUUUCAAAUCAAAUACAUGAACGUGCGAUUAAAGGUA